GAUCUGGCUCAGGAUGAACGCUGGCGGCGUGCUUAACACAUGCAAGUCGAACGAGAGAAGAUUGGUGCUUGCACUGAUCCGAUCGAGUGGCGGACGGGUGAGUAACGCGUGGGUAACCUGCCUCAUACAGGGGAAUAACAGUUGGAAACGGCUGCUAAAACCGCAUAAGCGCACGGUAUCGCAUGAUACAGUGUGAAAAACUCCGGUGGUAUGAGAUGGACCCGCGU
rnacentral:rRNA from 1 species